rnacentral:rRNA from 1 species
GACGAACGCUGGCGGCGUGCCUAAUACAUGCAAGUCGAGCGGAUCGAUGGGAGCUUGCUCCCUGAGAUUAGCGGCGGACGGGUGAGUAACACGUGGGCAACCUGCCUAUAAGACUGGGAUAACUUCGGGAAACCGGAGCUAAUACCGGAUACGUUCUUUUCUCGCAUGAGAGAAGAUGGAAAGACGGUUUACGCUGUCAC